rnacentral:piRNA from 1 species
UAGAGAACAUCGACACAA